UAUGCGCGCGAGACCCCGGGCCGUAAGGAAGUGUUGGCAGAGCCUGGAUCCCACCGCAAACUUCAGAAAGCACAGGGAAACUUCAGAUAGACCCCAGGGCUUACUUACAUCCUUCUAUUUUGGAGAUAAACAUGAUCUUCAGUGAUUCAGGGGAGAAAAAAGCGACCGUUCAGCCUGAUGGUCGAGACGAUCGCUGUUGACACUGUGUUCAUACCCACUUUAUUCCCAGCGGCCGAAAGGUGGAAACAACCCAAGUGCCCGUCAACAGAGGAAUGGUAAAACAGAAUGUGGUGUGUUCGUACAGCAAAAUACUAUUCGGCCACCCGAAGAAAUGAAAUCUUGAUAUAGAUGCUACAAAGUGGGUGGGCCUGAGAAAUGUCACACUAGGUGAAAUAAACCAGACGCAGAAGGACA
rnacentral:lncRNA from 1 species